CCCCUAGAGUUGUAGGCUUUGCCUGCUAUCCUCUUACCCAUGUCUUUUGAGUACCUUCGUUUCCUCGUCGGGGUCCGCCCGCCGAUUGGACAAUUAAACCAUUUGCAGUUGCAAUCAGCGUCUGAAAAAACUUAAUAGUUA
rnacentral:misc_RNA from 1 species